AACGUAGGUGGCAAGCGUUAUCCGGAAUUACUGGGCGUAAAGGGUGUGCAGGCGGGGAAGCAAGUGGGGUGUGAAAUCUCCCAGCUUAACUGGGAUAGGUUAUGCCAGACUGCUUUUCUAGAGGACGAGAGAGGGGGGUGGAAUUCCGGGUGUAGUGGUGAAAUGCGUAGAGAUCCGGAGGAACCCCAGAGGCGAAGGCGGCCCCCUGGCUCGUACCUGACGCUCAGACACGAAAGCAUGGGGAGCGAACGGG
rnacentral:rRNA from 1 species